GUUUUACUGUAGUUUUUUCGUUUUUGUAGCUAAUUAUUUUUGCUUCGAUUCAAAGAAACCUAUGUUGUGAUUUUAUUGUAUUUCAUCAAUACAUUUCAUAUUUUGUUCAAUGAUUCCACAGUCUGUAGUAUUCUCUCCACUAGUCCUUUUACAGUGAUGUAUUUACGUGUAGUACAAUAAUGAAACAUGUAUCACAUAUUUUGUACUACAAUAUUUAAUGAUUGUACAAACAACUACACAGUGAAACUAUCAGUAUCUUGUGUGUGGAUGAUCUAAAUGAACGUUCCUAUGGUAUUUAAUGAUAAAUUAGCUAUUUGAACCAAUGAUUCUACACGUGCAAGGUUUCUUUAACGAUAUGAAUGCACAAUGCAAUGUUUUGAACAUUGGACAGCCUGUGUUACAAGUGAUGACCGUCCUGAGUUUUGUGUCUAGAGUUUAAAAAAAUGACCACAAGGUUCUUAAAUUAGUGCCAAAGUGAUUGUUAAAAACUGUAAUAGGUGAGUGUGUGUGUACAUGUGUGCGUUAAUAGGUGAGGGUGUGUGUACAUGUGUGCGUUAAUAGGUGAGUGUGUGUGUGUAUGUGUGUGUUAAUAGGUGAGUGUGUGUGUAUGUGUGUGUUAAUAGGUGAGUGUGUGUGUUAAUAGGUGAGUGUGUGUGUAUGUAUGUGUGUGUUAAUAGGUGAGUGUGUGUGUAUGUGUGUGUUAAUAGGUGAGUGUGUGUGUCCGUGUGUGUUAAUAGGUGAGUAUGUGUGUCCGUGUGUGUUAAUAGGUGAGUGUGUGUGUAUGUGUGUGUUAAUAGGUGAGUAUGUGUGUAUGUGUGUGUUAAUAGGUGAGUGUGUGUGUAUGUGUGUGUUAAUAGGUGAGUAUGUGUGUAUGUGUGUGUUAAUAGGUGAGUGUAUGUGUGUGUAUGUGUGUGUUAAUAGGUGAGUGUGUGUGUAUGUGUGUGUUAAUAGGUGAGUGUGUGUGUAUGUGUGUGUUAAUAGGUGAGUGUAUGUGUGUGUAUGUGUGUGUUAAUAGGUGAGUGUGUGUGUAUGUGUGUGUUAAUAGGUGAGUGUAUGUGUGUGUAUGUGUGUGUUAAUAGGUGAGUGUGUGUGCACGUGUGUGGAAGAGGACAUUUACAUAAGCUCUGCUGACUCAAUCCCUUUCCCCCACAAAAAAAAUCUAUUUUAUUUCUUCAUCAGUGCCUUUUCCAUCAUCUAGCCCCCCUCCCCCACUUCUCCUCCCAAAAUAUGACAUUUACAUUUUAAUAGUGCCACACUGAUAAGGGACAAAGGUUAGGCAAAUGUUCCGGGAGCGAAUUGUUGAUUUUUUUCUUCCCUCCCUCUCCUCACUGCCUAUUCAAAGCACCUUUUAAUGGCAGAGAUGCUGACUUCUGUUUUUGUUUCAGAACGACAUCAGCCGUG